ACGUGAUCUGAGUUCAGACCGGAGUAAUCCAGGUCAGUUUCUAUCUAUAAAGGGCUUUUUCCAGUACGAAAGGACCGAAAAAGCGUGGCCAAUGUUCUAUGCAAGCCAUACUAUCAAUUUAUGAUUUAAACUCAAUAAUCAACUGGCCUUUAACCUCAUUCUAGACAAGAAGCA
rnacentral:rRNA from 1 species